CAGUCGCCGCGGUAAAACGAAGGGUGCAAGCGUUACUCGGAAUUACUGGGCGUAAAGCGUGUGUAGGUGGUUGUUUAAGUCUGUCGUGAAAGCCCUGGGCUCAACCUGGGAAUUGCGAUGGAUACUGGGCGACUAGAGUGCGGUAGAGGAUAGUGGAAUUUCCGGUGUAGCAGUGAAAUGCGUAGAGAUCGGAAGGAACAUCUGUGGCGAAGGCGACUAUCUGGGCCAACACUGACACUGAGACACGAAAGCGUGGGGAGCAAACAGGAUUAGAUACCCGUGUAGUCCCUGUCUCUUAUAC
rnacentral:rRNA from 1 species